UCGAACGGAAAGGCCCCUUCGGGGGUACUCGAGUGGCGAACGGGUGAGUAACACGUGGGUGAUCUGCCCUGCACUUUGGGAUAAGCCUGGGAAACUGGGUCUAAUACCGAAUAGGACCGCGCGCUUCAUGGUGUGUGGUGGAAAGCUUUUGCGGUGUGGGAUGGGCCCGCGGCCUAUCAGCUUGUUGGUGGGGUAAUGGCCUACCAAGGCGACGACGGGUAGCCGGCCUGAGAGGGUGUCCGGCCACACUGGGACUGAGAUACGGCCCAGACUCCUACGGGAGGCAGCAGUGGGGAAUAUUGCACAAUGGGCGCAAGCCUGAUGCAGCGACGCCGCGUGGGGGAUGACGGCCUUCGGGUUGUAAACCUCUUUCAGUAUCGGCGAAGCUCCAGGAUUUUUCUUGGGGUGACGGUAGGUACAGAAGAAGCACCGGCCAACUACGUGCCAGCAGCCGCGGUAAUACGUAGGGUGCGAGCGUUGUCCGGAAUUACUGGGCGUAAAGAGCUCGUAGGUGGUUUGUCACGUUGUCCGUGAAAACUCACAGCUUAACUGUGGGCGUGCGGGCGAUACGGGCAGACUGGAGUACUGUAGGGGAGACUGGAAUUCCUGGUGUAGCGGUGGAAUGCGCAGAUAUCAGGAGGAACACCGGUGGCGAAGGCGGGUCUCUGGGCAGUAACUGACGCUGAGGAGCGAAAGCGUGGGGAGCGAACAGGAUUAGAUACCCUGGUAGUCCACGCCGUAAACGGUGGGUACUAGGUGUGGGUUUCCUUCCUUUAGGGAUCCGUGCCGUAGCUAACGCAUUAAGUACCCCGCCUG
rnacentral:rRNA from 1 species